rnacentral:misc_RNA from 1 species
GAUGUAUUGUCUUCCUUCACAGUCACAUCACUUUCACUGCCCUGGAUCUUCUCAAUUUUCUCAUCUGCUAUCUUUUCAGAAGCUGAGAUAUCCUUAACUGCCUCCAGAGAUAUUUCAUUUUCACCCACAGGUUCAUGUUGGUCAGCAGAAGUAGUACCAUUCAAUUCACAAGAUUCUCUAGACUGCUCUUCUGAGUCUUUCCCAGUAGAAGUAUCUUUCACUUCCUCAAUCCUGUGCUCCUGAUUUGUGGUAGUCAU